rnacentral:rRNA from 1 species
GUCGCGCGAGAACCCGCAAGGGGGACAGCGGCGAAAGGGACAGUAAUGUGUAGGUAUUUGCCUCUAGGACCGGGAUAGCUGCGGGAAACUGCAGGUAAUACCGGAUAACGUCUUCGGACCAAAGGUGUGAGUCCGCCUGGAGAUAAGCCUACAUCCUAUUAGCUAGUUGGUAGGGUAAUGGCCUACCAAGGCUUUGAUGGGUAGCGGGUGUGAGAGCACGACCCGCGUCACUGGGACUGAGACACUGCCCAGACACCUACGGGUGGCUGCAGUCGAGAAUCUUCGGCAAUGGACGCAAGUCUGACCGAGCGACGCCGCGUGUGGGAUGAAGGCCUUCGGGUUGUAAACCACUGUCAGAGGGGAUGAAAUGCCGGUGGGUACUCCCAUCGGUUUGACAUAGCCUCAGAGGAAGGACGGGCUAAGUUCGUGCCAGCAGCCGCGGUAAGACGAACCGUCCGAACGUUAUUCGGAAUCACUGGGCUUAAAGGGUGCGUAGGCGGCGCGGAAAGUUGGGUGUGAAAUCCCUCGGCUUAACCGAGGAACUGCGCUCAAAACUACCGUGCUCGAGGGAGAUAGAGGUGAGCGGAACUUAGGGUGGAGCGGUGAAAUGCGUUGAUAUCCUAAGGAACACCGGUGGCGAAAGCGGCUCACUGGAUCUCUUCUGACGCUGAGGCACGAAAGCUAGGGUAGCGAACGGGAUUAGAUACCCCGGUAGUCCUAGCCGUAAACGAUGAGCACUGGAUUGGAGGCUCCUCCAUA